AGUUCAUGAUAUGGACAUUUUCGUAGCAAAUCUCUAAACAUUUUUCAAGUUUCAUACAAUGAUUCACCUUCUUGUUGACUAAAAUUAGUUAUGUCUAUUCUAAGUUU